GCACCCGUAGCUCAAUUGGACAGAGCACUAGUCUACGGAACUAGGGGUUGCAGGUUCGACUCCUGCCGGGUGUG
rnacentral:tRNA from 1 species